rnacentral:rRNA from 1 species
UUGACCUCGGAUCAGGUAGGGAUACCCGCUGAACUUAAGCAUAUCAAUAAAGCGGAGGAAAAGAAACCAACAGGGAUUGCCUCAGU